GUUGUAUGGUUAAGUGACUAAGCGUACACGGUGGAUGCCUUGGCAGUCAGAGGCGAUGAAAGACGUAGUAACUUGCGAUAAGCCCAGAUUAGGUAGUAACAACCAUUUGAGUCUGGGAUUUCUGAAUGGGGAAACCCACUUACAUAAGUAAGUAUCCUUAUCUGAAUACAUAGGGUAAGGAGGCGAACCGGGGGAACUGAAACAUCUAAGUACCCCGAGGAAAAGAAAUCAACCGAGAUUCCGAAAGUAGCGGCGAGCGAAAUUGGACUAGCCCUUAAGCUUUACACGCGUUAGACGAACGGUCUGGAAAGUCCGACGAUACAGGGUGAUAGUCCCGUAGUUGACGACGUGUGUUCAGUGAAAUCGAGUAGGGCGGGACACGUGAUAUCCUGUCUGAAUAUGGGGGGACCAUCCUCCAAGGCUAAAUACUACUGACUGACCGAUAGUGAACCAGUACCGUGAGGGAAAGGCGAAAAGAACCCCUGUGAGGGGAGUGAAAUAGAACCUGAAACCGUGUACGUACAAGCAGUAGGAGCAGGCUUGUCCUGUGACUGCGUACCUUUUGUAUAAUGGGUCAGCGACUUAUAUUCAGUGGCAAGGUUAACCAUCUAGGGGAGCCGUAGGGAAACCGAGUCUUAACUGGGCGUUCAGUCUCUGGAUAUAGACCCGAAACCAGGUGAUCUAGCCAUGGGCAGGUUGAAGGUUGAGUAACAUCAACUGGAGGACCGAACCGACUAAUGUUGAAAAAUUAGCGGAUGACUUGUGGCUAGGGGUGAAAGGCCAAUCAAACCUGGAGAUAGCUGGUUCUCCCCGAAAGCUAUUUAGGUAGCGCCUCGGACGAAUACUACUGGGGGUAGAGCACUGUUAAGGCUAGGGGGUCAUCCCGACUUACCAACCCUUUGCAAACUCCGAAUACCAGUAAGUACUAUCCGGGAGACACACGGCGGGUGCUAACGUCCGUCGUGGAGAGGGAAACAACCCAGACCGCCAGCUAAGGUCCCAAAUUACUACUAAGUGGGAAACGAUGUGGGAAGGCUCAGACAGCCAGGAUGUUGGCUUAGAAGCAGCCAUCAUUUAAAGAAAGCGUAAUAGCUCACUGGUCGAGUCGGCCUGCGCGGAAGAUGUAACGGGGCUAAGUAGUAAACCGAAGCUGCGGCAAUAUACUUUUGUAUAUUGGGUAGGGGAGCGUUCUGUAAGCGGUUGAAGGUGUGUGGUAACGCAUGCUGGACGUAUCAGAAGUGCGAAUGCUGACAUGAGUAACGAUAAAGGGGGUGAAAAACCUCCUCGCCGGAAGACCAAGGGUUCCUGUCCAACGUUAAUCGGGGCAGGGUAAGUCGACCCCUAAGGCGAGGCCGAAAGGCGUAGUCGAUGGGAAACGGGUUAAUAUUCCCGUACUUCUUACAAUUGCGAUGGGGGGACGGAGAAGGCUAGGUGGGCCUGGCGACGGUUGUCCAGGUUCAAGUGCGUAGGCUUAAGAGUUAGGUAAAUCCGGCUCUUUUUAAGGCUGAGACACGACGUCGAGCUACUACGGUAGUGAAGUCAUUGAUGCCAUGCUUCCAGGAAAAGCCUCUAAGCUUCAGAUUGUAAGGAAUCGUACCCCAAACCGACACAGGUGGUCGGGUAGAGAAUACCAAGGCGCUUGAGAGAACUCGGGUGAAGGAACUAGGCAAAAUGGUACCGUAACUUCGGGAGAAGGUACGCUCUUGAUGGUGAAGUCCCUUGCGGAUGGAGCUGACGAGAGUCGCAGAUACCAGGUGGCUGCAACUGUUUAUUAAAAACACAGCACUGUGCAAAAUCGUAAGAUGACGUAUACGGUGUGACGCCUGCCCGGUGCCGGAAGGUUAAUUGAUGGGGUUAGACUUCGGUCGAAGCUCUUGAUCGAAGCCCCGGUAAACGGCGGCCGUAACUAUAACGGUCCUAAGGUAGCGAAAUUCCUUGUCGGGUAAGUUCCGACCUGCACGAAUGGCGUAAUGAUGGCCACGCUGUCUCCACCCGAGACUCAGUGAAAUUGAAAUCGCUGUGAAGAUGCAGUGUACCCGCGGCUAGACGGAAAGACCCCGUGAACCUUUACUACAGCUUGGCACUGAACAUUGACCCUACAUGUGUAGGAUAGGUGGGAGGCUUUGAAGACGGUACGCCAGUAUGUGUGGAGCCGUCCUUGAAAUACCACCCUUGUAGUGUUGAUGUUCUAACGUCGACCCCUUAUCGGGGUUGCGGACAGUGCCUGGUGGGUAGUUUGACUGGGGCGGUCUCCUCCCAAAGAGUAACGGAGGAGCACGAAGGUGGGCUAAUCACGGUUGGACAUCGUGAGGUUAGUGCAAUGGCAUAAGCCCGCUUGACUGCGAGAAUGACAAUUCGAGCAGGUGCGAAAGCAGGUCAUAGUGAUCCGGUGGUUCUGAAUGGAAGGGCCAUCGCUCAACGGAUAAAAGGUACUCCGGGGAUAACAGGCUGAUACCGCCCAAGAGUUCAUAUCGACGGCGGUGUUUGGCACCUCGAUGUCGGCUCAUCACAUCCUGGGGCUGAAGUCGGUCCCAAGGGUAUGGCUGUUCGCCAUUUAAAGUGGUACGCGAGCUGGGUUUAGAACGUCGUGAGACAGUUCGGUCCCUAUCUGCCGUGGGCGUUGGAAGAUUGAAGGGGGCUGCUCCUAGUACGAGAGGACCGGAGUGGACGAACCUCUGGUGUUCGGGUUGUGUCGCCAGACGCAUUGCCCGGUAGCUAAGUUCGGAAUCGAUAACCGCUGAAAGCAUCUAAGCGGGAAGCGAGCCCUGAGAUGAGUCUUCCCUGAUACUUUAAGUAUCCUAAAGGGUUGUCGGAGACUACGACGUUGAUAGGUCAGGUGUGUAAGUGCUGUGAGGCAUUGAGCUAACUGAUACUAAUUGCCCGUGAGGCUUAACCAUACAACACCCAAGGGGUUU
rnacentral:rRNA from 1 species